rnacentral:rRNA from 1 species
UGGGGAAUAUUGCGCUAAUGCGCGAAAGCGUGACGCAGCGACGCCGCGUGGGGGAUGAAGGCCCUCGGGUCGUAAACCCCUUUCGCCAGGGACGAAGGGAAACUGACGGUACCUGGAGAAGAAGUCCCGGCUAACUACGUGCCAGUCAGCCGCGGUAACACGUAGGGGACGAGCGUUGUCCGGAAUCAUUGGGCGUAAAGCGCGCGUAGGCGGCCCGGAAAGUCGGUUGUGAAAGCCCGGGGCUCAACCCCGGGACUGCAUCCGAUACUUCCGGGCUGGAGGUAGGUAGGGGAGAUCGGAAUUCCUGGUGUAGCGGUGAAAUGCGCAGAUAUCAGGAGGAACACCGGUGGCGAAGGCGGAUCUCUGGGCCUUACCUGACGCUGAGGCGCGAAAGCUAGGGGAGCGAACAGGAUUAGAUACCCUGGUAGUCCUAGCCGUAAACGUUGGGUGCUAGGUGUGGGUGGACGAUCGACCCCCAUCCCGUGCCGAAGCUAACGCAUUAAGCACCCCGCCUGGGGAGUACGGCCGCAA